CUGCAGCUCAAGUGGUGACCACUAUUAUUGGGCCUAAAACGUUCGUAGCCGGUUUGGUAAAUGCCUGGGUAAAUCGUGUAGCUUAACUAUACGAAUUCCGGGUAGACUGCCAAACUUGAGACCGGGAGAGGCUAGAGGUACUCCUGGGGUAGAGGUGAAAUUCUGUAAUCCUAGGGGGACCACCAGUGGCGAAGGCGUCUAGCUAGAACGGGUCUGACGGUGAGGGACGAAGCCCUGGGGCACAAACCGGAUUAGAUACCCGAGUAGUCC
rnacentral:rRNA from 1 species